AACGGAAUCUGCAUACAAAACAAACUCUAAUAAUUAUAGAAAACAAUAAUUUAUCUAUCCUAGGAGAUCGGCACGCCAUCAUCAUCUUCCCGACGAUUUCUACGCCUUCUUCCACCAUCAUUGGCAUAUCCUUCUUCAUCGACAUCGGCAACCAUCAAUAUCAACCAUCGGUAUAGAUUAAUCAUCAUCCCUGGACUUGAUCAUACCCUGCUACUUUAUUAUCGGCAUCAUACUCCAUCGGCAAUUCCUUUGUCAACCGGUCAUUACUUUCUCGCCUACUGAUCCAAGCUUCAUUAACUUUCCAAAUACGUGUCC
rnacentral:lncRNA from 1 species